rnacentral:rRNA from 1 species
GAGGGCAAGUCUGGUGCCAGCAGCCGCGGUAAUUCCAGCUCCAAUAGCGUAUAUUAAAAUUGUUGCAGUUAAAAAGCUCGUAGUUGAAUUUCUGCUGCUCCGCAUUUUCCCUUUGAGGGGUUUUUGCGCUGUGGCUUAUUUCGGACUGUGUUUCGCACUGUCCGGAUGUUUACUUUGAGAAAAUUAGAGUGCUCAAAGCAGGCUUUUGCCUUGAAUAGUUUAGCAUGGAAUAAUAAAGUAGGACUUUGGUUCUAUUUUGUUGGUUUUAGGUACCAAAGUAAUGGUUAAUAGGAACAGUUGGGGGCAUUCGUAUUUAACUGUCAGAGGUGAAAUUCUUAGAUUUGUUAAAGACGAACUACUGCGAAAGCAUUUGCCAAGGAUGUUUUCAUUAAUCAAGAACGAAAGUUAGGGGAUCGAAGACGAUCAGAUACCGUCGUAGUCCUAACCAUAAACUAUGCCGACUAGAGAUUGGAGGUCGUCAGUUUUUACGACUCCUUCAGCACCUUGAGAG